ensembl:lncRNA
CGGAGUGCCCCCAGAACCUCACGCCCAUCCCGGACCCACCCAGGGGCAGCCAGGCUACCAGGUGUGUGUGUGCUGCUGCUGUCUGCACCGACUGUUUCUGCAGUGUCUCUGUCUGUCAGUCCAAACCUUCAGCAGUUCUUCAGAGGAUCUUCUUCAGUGUCUCUGAGUUGUGUUGAUGAUGGACAGACAGCUGAUGGAUGGACAGUGAAGAGGACCAGAGGAAACCUCACUGAGGACUGUGGAGCAGCUGCUUCAGAGUUUAGUAGGAUUAACAGUUCCUUCUGUGCUCUCGGUCUCUCCACUGGUGGAAGUUUCCUGUGUGUAAACUCAUCUGGAGAGCAGAGUGAUGAAGUCUCCAUCAGUGUCUCAGAAGGAGGUGUGAUCCUGGAGAUUCCUGCACUUCCUGUCAUGACAGGAAGUGAUGUCACUUUGUACUGUACACCCAAAGAGGGAGAAAGACGAAAAUCUUACUUCAUCAGAGAUAAUGUUCCACUUGGAUCUGGACCUGAAGGAAAGUGGAUUCUCUCUAAAGUCAACCGGUCUGAUGAAGGUCUCUACUCGUGUUAUACUGAUAUUCAUCCACCUUCUCCUCAGAGCAGACUGAGGGUCAGAGAUCCUCCUCCCACCACAACGUCUCCUCUUCUUCUCACUACUUUCCCUCCCUCCUCUUCCUCUCCACACUCUUCCUCCUUCCUUCCUCUUUAUCUCCUGGUGCUCCCUGUAGUCCUGGUCCUGGUCCUGGUUGGAGGUGUGGUUCUGUUGAAGAAACUGAGAGUAACCAAGACUUCACCUGCUCCUGAAGAAGUGACCUAUGCUGAUAUCAACAUCAGACAGAAGAAGAAGAGGCGAGUAACCAAGACUUCACCUGCUCCUGAAGAAGUGACCUAUGCUGAUAUCAACAUCAGACAGAAGAAGAAGAGGCGAGACAACCAUUCUCUUGGUCCAGAUACAGUCUACUCUGCUGUGAGGACACACACUGCUGGCCCUUCUGAGGUCACUUAUGGCCAAGUUCAAAUCAGAUCUCAGAGACCUGCGGGCAGAAAUACUGAGUACCCAGCUGAUCCAGAUGUCGUGUACUCAUCAGUGAGAGCAGGAAAAUGAAGAUAAACAGCUGGAGGAGCUUCACGUCUUUCCAACCUGAAUCUUUUAUUUUGAGUGAUAUGCUGUUUGCUCUGCUUUGUUUUACCACCUUGCUCGUCUCCUUUAUAGUGUAACUUCUUCCUUUCGGCACAAGUUUAGAUCUAUGAGUACUUGAACAGUGAGCCACAGAGCAUUUUAAAGAGUGCAUAUCUUGAGAAUCCACUUCUAUUUUUUUAUGAGAGUUUUAUAAACUCUGAGGUGUAAAAUUUUUAAAUCUGAAGCUCCCCUGGCAAC